rnacentral:rRNA from 1 species
GUGCCAGCAGCCGCGGUAAUACGUAGGGUCCGAGCGUUGUCCGGAAUUACUGGGCGUAAAGAGCUCGUAGGUGGUUUGUCGCGUUGUUCGUGAAAACUCACAGCUUAACUGUGGGCGUGCGGGCGAUACGGGCAGACUAGAGUACUGCAGGGGAGACUGGAAUUCCUGGUGUAGCGGUGGAAUGCGCAGAUAUCAGGAGGAACACCGGUGGCGAAGGCGGGUCUCUGGGCAGUAACUGACGCUGAGGAGCGAAAGCGUGGGGAGCGAACAGGAUUAGAUACCCUGGUAGUCCACGCCGUAAACGGUGGGUACUAGGUGUGGGUUCCUUCCUUGGGAUCCGUGCCGUAGCUAACGCAUUAAGUACCCCGCCUGGGGAGUACGGCCGCAAGGCUAAAACUCAAAGGAAUUGACGGGGGCCCGCACAAGCGGCGGAGCAUGUGGAUUAAUUCGAUGCAACGCGAAGAACCUUACCUGGGUUUGA